GCUGCAGUAGUUUACUUAAAACAUUAACCCGUGAAGUUAAAAAUGAAAACUCUUCCCGCAGCCG
rnacentral:tRNA from 1 species